rfam:Mesocricetus auratus contig023771, whole genome shotgun sequence.
AAAAAGGCUCUUUUAAGAGCCAACUCCAGUAUCCCCGGAAGAUGCUGU